rnacentral:rRNA from 1 species
UACGGAGGGUGCGAACGUUAAUCGGAAUCACUGGGCGUAAAGCGCGCGUAGGCGGUUUGUUAAGUGGGAUGUGAAAGCCCCGGGCUUAACCUGGGAAUUGCAUUUCAAACUGGCGAACUAGAGUGCGGUAGAGGGAGGUAGAAUUUCCUGUGUAGCGGUGAAAUGCGUAGAUAUCGGAAGGAACACCGGUGGCGAAAGCGGCGCGCUGGACCUCUUCUGACGCUGAUGCGCGAAAGCCAGGGGAGCAAACGGG